rnacentral:rRNA from 1 species
ACAGGGAUUGCCCUAGUAACGGCGAGUGAAGCGGCAACAGCUCAAAUUUGAAAUCUGGCGUCUUUGGCGUCCGAGUUGUAAUUUGCAGAGGGCGCUUUGGCAUUGGCAGCGGUCCAAGUUCCUUGGAACAGGACGUCACAGAGGGUGAGAAUCCCGUACGUGGUCGCUAGCCUUUACCGUGUAAAGCCCCUUCGACGAGUCGAGUUGUUUGGGAAUGCAGCUCUAAAUGGGAGGUAAAUUUCUUCUAAAGCUAAAUACUGGCCAGAGACCGAUAGCGCACAAGUAGAGUGAUCGAAAGAUGAAAAGCACUUUGGAAAGAGAGUUAAAAAGCACGUGAAAUUGUUGAAAGGGAAGCGCUUGCAGCCAGACUUGCCUGUAGUUGCUCAUCCGGGUUUUUACCCGGUGCACUCUUCUACGGGCAGGCCAGCAUCAGUUUGGGCGGUUGGAUAAAGGUCUCUGUCAUGUACCUCCUCUCGGGGAGAUCUUAUAGGGGAGACGACAUGCAACCAGCCUGGACUGAGGUCCGCGCAUCUGCUAGGAUGCUGGCGUAAUGGCUGUAAGCGGCCCGUCUUGAAACACGGACCAAGGAGUCUAACAUCUAUGCGAGUGUUUGGGUGUCAAGCCCGAACGCGUAAUGAAAGUGAACGGAGGUGGGAACCUUUCGGGGUGCACCAUCGACCGAUCCUGAUGUCUUCGGAUGGAUUUGAGUAAGAGCAUAGCUGUUGGGACCCGAAAGAUGGUGAACUAUGCUUGAAUAGGGUGAAGCCAGAGGAAACUCUGGUGGAGGCUCRCAGCGGUUCUGACGUGCAAAUCGAUCGUCAAAUUUGGGCAUAGGGGCGAAAGACUAAUCGAACUAUCUAGUAGCUGGUUCCUGCCGAAGU